UGGGGAAUAUUGGACAAUGGGGGCAACCCUGAUCCAGCCAUGCCGCGUGUGUGAAGAAGGCCUUCGGGUUGUAAAGCACUUUCAGUGGGGAGAAAGGUUUGACACCUAAUACGUGUCGGAAUUGAUGUUACCCACAGAAGAAGCACCGGCUAACUCCGUGCCAGCAGCCGCGGUAAUACGGAGGGUGCAAGCGUUAAUCGGAAUUACUGGGCGUAAAGCGCACGUAGGUGGUUCGUUAAGCUAGCUGUGAAAUCCCCGGGCUCAACCUGGGAAUGGCAUUGGAUACUGGCGGGCUAGAGUGCGGUAGAGGAUAGUGGAAUUCCUGGUGUAGCAGUGAAAUGCGUAGAGAUCAGGAGGAACAUCCGUGGCGAGGGCGACUGUCUGGACCAGCACUGACACUGAGGCACGAAAGCGUGGGGAGCAAAC
rnacentral:rRNA from 1 species